rnacentral:rRNA from 1 species
UGCCAGUGAUAAACUGGAGGAAGGUGGGGAUGACGUCAAGUCAUCAUGGCCCUUACGAGUAGGGCUACACACGUGCUACAAUGGCGCAUACAAAGAGAAGCGACCUCGCGAGAGCAAGCGGACCUCAUAAAGUGCGUCGUAGUCCGGAUUGGAGUCUGCAACUCGACUCCAUGAAGUCGGAAUCGCUAGUAAUCGUGGAUCAGAAUGCCACGGUGAAUACGUUCCCGGGCCUUGUACACACCGCCCGUCACACCAUGGGAGUGGGUUGCAAAAGAAGUAGGUAGCUUAACCUUCGGGAGGGCGCUUACCACUUUGUGAUUCAUGACUGGGGUGAAGUCGUAACAAGGUAACCGUAGGGGAACCUGCGGUUGGA